rnacentral:rRNA from 1 species
CGGCGUGCUUAACACAUGCAAGUCGAACGAUGAUGCCCAGCUUGCUGGGCGGAUUAGUGGCGAACGGGUGAGUAAUACGUGAGUAACCUGCCCUUGACUCUGGGAUAAGCCUGGGAAACUGGGUCUAAUACUGGAUACUACCUCUUACCGCAUGGUGGGUGGUGGAAAGGGUUUUACUGGUUUUGGAUGGGCUCACGGCCUAUCAGCUUGUUGGUGGGGUAAUGGCUCACCAAGGCGACGACGGGUAGCCGGCCUGAGAGGGUGACCGGCCACACUGGGACUGAGACACGGCCCAGACUCCUACGGGAGGCAGCAGUGGGGAAUAUUGCACAAUGGGCGGAAGCCUGAUGCAGCGACGCCGCGUGAGGGAUGACGGCCUUCGGGUUGUAAACCUCUUUCAGUAGGGAAGAAGCGAGAGUGACGGUACCUGCAGAAGAAGCGCCGGCUAACUACGUGCCAGCAGCCGCGGUAAUACGUAGGGCGCAAGCGUUGUCCGGAAUUAUUGGGCGUAAAGAGCUCGUAGGCGGUUUGUCGCGUCUGCUGUGAAAGCCCGGGGGCUCAACCCCGGGUCUUG